CAUGAAGGUGCAGAUUGUGGCGAUGCAUCUACAUGCCAAGGAAUGCCAAAGAUUGCUAGCAAACCACCAGAAGAUGGGAGGCAAAUCAUCCCUUCCUGCAGAGAUGAGCCAUUUAUGGGAUAAAUAUAUAGAACACGAUAAGAUAACUGAACUGCUUUCCAUUCUACAUAUAUCUCAGUUGGAAUGAUUGCACUUCUUUCCACAGCUCCUCUCUCCUGUCUGCUGAGGACAUUUAUAGAAUGGAAUCCAAAAGCAGAGACUGAUGUUGUUUGUACCGUUCUGCCUACAGUCUGGACUGAAAGCCCAUCAAUCUCGCUUCUUUCAAGAGAACUCUAUUCUAUGAGGUCCUUUCCAUUACUUGGCGUUUCUCCCAAUCAGUCACCAAGUAUACACUUAAUUUCUUUUUAAAAGCCAACUGGUUUUGUUUU